rnacentral:siRNA from 1 species
UCAGAGGGUGUAGAUACUCAA